rnacentral:rRNA from 1 species
CGAUAACGAACGAGACCUUAACCUGCUAAAUAGUUAGGCCAACGAUUGUUGGUCGUCAACUUCUUAGAGGGACUAUUGACUAUUAGUCAAUGGAAGUUUGAGGCAAUAACAGGUCUGUGAUGCCCUUAGAUGUUCUGGGCCGCACGCGCGCUACACUGAUCAAGUCAGCGAGUUUACAACCUUGGCCGGAAGGUCUGGGUAAUCUUUUGAAACUUGAUCGUGCUGGGGAUAGUCCAUUGCAAUUAUUGGACUUCAACGAGGAAUUCCUAGUAAGCGUGAGUCAUCAGCUCGCGUUGAUUACGUCCCUGCCCUUUGUGCACGCCGCCCGUCGCUACUACCGAUUGAAUGGCU